ensembl:rRNA 5S_rRNA 5S ribosomal RNA
UCACUUAAUAAUAUCACCCUGAAGCCCAAGCCUAGUUACUCACUGAAGCUAAGCAGGGCUGAGCCUGGCCAGUACCUGGGUGGGAGACCACAUGGGAAAACGAGAUUGCUGUUGGAA